GUAUCCCCCAACACAUAAAAUUAAGGAUGCAAUUGUUUCAUGGUGACAGUUUGGAGUCUUCCAUGAUUCCUCGAAGGACACAUAUGCUUGGCUAGCUAGCAGUCUAAUAAGGCAUGGUCCAUCUUUUCCCUAAGAAAGAGCCAAUAGGAUUGUGCAUGAAGAGAUAGAGGUUUCAUGGACGUAUAAGGGGUGAAAAAGGAGAGGAGACAGAAUCAUCAAGCAAGGAGAUGGGGCUGCGGAAAUGCUCCUUGAAACCAACUUGAGUUGAGCUCAUCCAAUGCAAAAAGGGCUCAUUAGGCAGAUUGUGAAGUGCGAUGGAUGUCGAAAGACAGAAGAAGGAAGAAAACAGGAUAAAGAGUCACUGGUCUUGUUUGUCUUCAUUACAAAAAGUGGUCACAGGUUUCACUUGACUCCAAAACUUUCACCAUACAUAACAGCAAAUUUUUCCCCAGCCCCACAUGUAUAAAAGAAACCUUUUCUCCUAGCCAUAUCCAGAUACAUUGUUACACAAACUCCUCUGACCUUACACAUUUAUAACGCAUUCAUUUUUGUCACUACAGGGAGUUUUAUGAAUUGCCUAGAGACUGGGGAAUACAUCUAAGAUAAUAACCAUAAUGUUCUCUGAAUUAUCGGAAUUAACUUCAAAUAUUCAUGUUAUUAAUAACCUUAUGAAUUUUUGGUUCCAAUCUAGUAAUUUGUACAUCUUAUAAUUAUUCUUGUGUAUCUUUCAGGAAAAGGGAAAAAAAAAAGAACUCUUGCAAGUUGUGGAGUAACUUUUUUUAGCAGAAAGUUAUGGAUCGAGUAACUGAUGUCAUUUGUUUUUUCUUUUGGGAAAUAAUCAAUGUUAUUUUGUUGUUGGUGUUUUUAAGCUUACCUACUCACUUCUGCAGAAAUACACAAGUACCUUUUUAUUUUGGUAGAAAGUUAUCUUUAAUUACAUCCUUUAAACUUUCAUGGCAUUUUAAUCUCCCGCAUUCACAAUCAUUUUCAUCCUUUUUUAUGAUUGUGUAGAUGAAGCCUAAUAAAAGAUAACUUUGAGCAUGAUUUUAAACCAAUUCUAGACAUGUCUCAAAAGCUUUGAGAGAUGUGAUGCAAGAAAAAAUCCUUUGGCCUUCAAUUAAAAAAAAAAAAGAAGAAAAAAAAUAAUUUGACAAGUAUUUUGCAAGGGAUCUAGGCUUAUUUUCAUUCUUUCCAUGGUUAAGAAAUAAGUACAGAGAGGACAUACAGACAUACUUAUAUUUGCAUGUGAGCAUGUAUGUAUGUAUACAUGCAUGAUAUAUGCAUACAUAUACAUACAUACUUCCAUGUGCAUGCGCGCGCGUGUGUGAUACUUUGAAUGAAGAUGCUAAAUGUUAAUUUUCAUGUAGAUAGUGACAUGUUCAAAUGCCUAAAUGUGAUACACCAAUGAGUCUGUAGAUUAUAGUUUUUUUUUUCUGUUGAUUAUUAUUAUUAUUUUUUCUGAUAUAAGGGAGGCUUAGCCACCCAAAUCGGUGGGAAUGGAUGUAGACGUAGUUAUAUCUAUGGUUUGUGGGCCCAUACAUGGAGAAUGGAAGUUCAUAUGGAAAGAUACAGUUAAAAAUACUAGCAGAGUUGCAGGUUUGUAAAUCAUGAGUUGAAAGAGUAGCAGCAGUCAAAAAGCAGGAAGAAAAACAGAAAAAUAUAUACUUGUAGAAAUGCCAAGACUUCAAGACUAGAAGGGCAGAGACAUUCAGAGAGCCAAUCAACUCUAAGAUGCCACCGUCAAGCUGUCCUCAGCUUGGAAAGUCUCUUUCACAUCUUUUAACGCUGCAUGCAACCCUCCAUCCAUGUAGGCCCUCACCACUGAGGUCAUGAUAUCUUUAUACUAACCCUCCAUCUUUCCUUCUCUUCUCUUCUUUUCCCUUCUUCUCCCCUCUUUUCAGAGAAUAGAAAAAAAUAGUGUGACUAGUAGUUGUCUAAUAUCAAUCACAAUUAAUAGUAACUCGUCCUCCAAAUUAUCUUCUCCACCACUUGCACCAAUCCAUUUGAUAGCCACCACUUGUAAGCAAGUAUAGGAAGGGUAUAGGUUGAGGGUGAAGAGACUGAUGAUUCUAGUGUCCUUCAUUUUAUGGCAAUUCCAGCAGCGAUGAGCGGCGAAGAUGAAAAGGAUGAGCACGAGCACGACCUAGUGAUGCCGGGCUUUCGCUUCCACCCCACCGAGGAGGAGAUCAUUGAGUUCUACCUCCGCCGUAAGGUUGAGGGGAAGCACUUCAAUGUAGAACUUAUCACCUUCCUCGACCUCUACCGCUAUGACCCAUGGGAGCUUCCUGAAGUGUUCUUCUUUUCAGCACUGGCUGCAAUUGGAGAGAAGGAAUGGUUCUUUUAUGUUCCUAGAGAUCGAAAGUAUCGGAAUGGUGAUAGGCCAAACCGGGUGACAAUCUCAGGCUACUGGAAGGCUACUGGGGCUGACCGGAUGAUUCGGUCGGAGAAUUCGAGACCCAUCGGGCUGAAGAAAACUCUCGUCUUCUACUCCGGGAAGGCACCCAAAGGCAUUCGAUCAAGCUGGAUCAUGCAUGAGUACCGUUUGCCGCAGAGUGAAACUGAUCGGUAUCACAAGACUGAAAUCUCACUUUGCCGAGUCUACAAGAGAGGUGGGAUUGAAGACCAUCUCCCCGUCAUGCACAAGCCAUCCUCCAAACCUACCAGACCUGAUAAAAAGUACAAGAGAUUUUACCAACCAUCAUCCUUGUUCACGGCACUCGCAGGAGAUUCCUCCUCAUCAGAGAUAGAGAAGAUCCAUGAAGGAGGAGUUUACAGCAGCACAAACAACAUAUCAGUUUACAGUGCAAUACCUCCAGUAUCCAACAUGACAGCUCUACUCAAAGAAGAUGGGACUUCACUGAACUCAUCAAAUACGCUGAUACCAACAAGCACACUCCUCCCUUCAGCUACUUCUUCUAUGGCCAUCGCCGAUGAGUUCAAUAAAAUGGUAGGCUGCCACCAAGGCUACUUCAACCAAACCAGUCAGUUCAUAACAAUGCCCUCGCAGCCCCAGCUGCUUCCCCUCGAUGGGCUGCCCAUGUCAUUGGCAACCAUUUCAGACAAUCUUUGGGAAUGGAAUCAAAUCCAUGAGGCUGGAAAAGACCUCACUAGUUUCAAGUGAUUGACAGCAUUGCACCUAGACAUAGUCCAUCUACUAUUGGUAUUUUUCUUUUGUUUUUAGGAGAUCCAUGGCAUAAGAUUGAGAUCUUUUGUAUGUAUCUUUCUUUAUUGAUUUUCCACUUUUAGACGUCCAAUAAUAGUAUCAGAAGACUUGCAGAGAGAGCUGCUCAGAGAUUUGGACAUGGGAUGCGAGUACCAUUGCAGGCAUGUGAUCGCUAUGUUGUCUUUUCUUUGGGCGGUGGAAACAAUAACGAACCCAUGGUAAGCAUUCUGUUUAUUGUUCCAUUAUUGCGGUCAUAAGGAAUGGAGUCUUUGUUGUUGUUGUUGUUGUUCCUAUUUUUUUUUUUUUUGUGAUAUAAGGAAUAGAGUCUUGUUGGAAGCUGGAAAGGGCUGAGGUUUCAGGUAUCUUUAAAGUUGCCCUCAUGGUGAUGCUUAAUGCUUAAUCCACCUAAUUUGUUUCAAUUCAUUAUAGGUGGAGUUACAUUAAAUGCUUAAUAAAAUGGUCAGAUUUAAAUCUA